rnacentral:pre_miRNA from 1 species
CAUGUACUCUCUCCGUUCGAAAUUACUUGUCAUAGAAAUGAAUGUAUCUAGAUGUAUUUUAAUUCUAGAUACAUUCAUUUCCGAGACAAGUAAUUCCGAAUGAAGGGAGUAUGAU